AAUCAACGCUGGCGGCAGGCUUAACACAUGCAAGUCGAGCGGAGAUGAGGUGCUUGCACCUUAUCUUAGCGGCGGACGGGUGAGUAAUGCUUAGGAAUCUGCCUAUUAGUGGGGGACAACAUUCCGAAAGGAAUGCUAAUACCGCAUACGUCCUACGGGAGAAAGCAGGGGAUCUUCGGACCUUGCGCUAAUAGAUGAGCCUAAGUCGGAUUAGCUAGUUGGUGGGGUAAAGGCCUACCAAGGCGACGAUCUGUAGCGGGUCGGAGAGGAUGGUCCGCAACACAGGGCCUGAGACACGGCCCAGACUCCUACGGUAGGCAGCAGUGGGGAAUAUUGGACAAUGGGGGGAACCCUGAUCCAGCCAUGCCGCGUGUGUGAAGAAGGCCUUAUGGUUGUAAAGCACUUUAAGCGAGGAGGAGGCUACUGAGACUAAUACUCUUGGAUAGUGGACGUUACUCGCAGAAUAAGCACCGGCUAACUCUGUGCCAGCCGCCGCCGUAAUAC
rnacentral:rRNA from 1 species